rnacentral:rRNA from 1 species
AGCUCCAUAGCGUACAUUUAAGUUGUUGCGGUUAGAAAGCUCGGAUUUCUGGCUGGAGCGACCGGUCCUCCCCGCAAGGGUGUGUGUACUAUAGCGUCGUCUCCGACCACCAUCCUUGUGGGAACUGUGCGGCCGUUAACUUGGUUGUAUGGGACACAUCGUUCACUGUGAAAAAAGUAGAGCGUUUGAAGCAGGCUUAAGCCGUUGAAUAUAUUAGCAUGGAAUAAUAGAUAAGACGGGUCAUUAUUUUGUUGGUUUGCGGAUUGAGGUAAUGAUUAAUAGGGAUUGUUGGAGUAUUCACUAUUUUAUUGUCAGAGGUGAAAUUCUUGGAUUUAUGCAAGAUGAACUUGGACGAAAGCAUUUACCAAGGAUGUUUUCA